UCUCACCCGGUCUUACAGGAUUUCUGCGUUAUUCAAAUGGGCGUACUAAAAUAAUGUGAAUACAAUGUGGGCUCCGAAGCGCUGAAGGGGAGGGUUAAUGAAACUGCUAAUAUAGAAAGCAAACGUGGGACCAGCUGCUCCAGAGUGCACGUGAAACCAUUUUCCCUCACAAGGAGCAGAAGCUUUGGGACAUAAGCAAACAGCGAUGUGGGUCCUUAGACCUCAAGAGGUUAAGUGGAGAGGGGAAAGAAACUCUGAUAUGGUAUUUCUUGGCUCGCUGACCAACUUCGACCUUCUAUCUGUGUGAGUGUGGGAUUAACAUGAGCUUCUGCUUAGGGGAGUCACCUAUGAAAAUAAGAAAACAAAUGUGCGCAUUUGUAGCUCCAACUGGAGAAGGCUGGAAAAAAGAUACCAAAGCACCUGCUACUGGUGCCAUUAUUAUGGACGAAUAUGAGAUAAAGAGAUGGAAACAACGGGGUAUGCAGUAGAAAGAUGGACCAGAAAGCAGAGCCAAGAGGUAUUGGCCAGCUGUUCUGCUACUCUACAGAGUACUGGGCUGAAGAAAAAUGAUCUCAACAGACUGGAGGUAUCAAUGAAAUGUAACCCAAUAAAGCUUGAUUCUGAGGGGAGAGAAUGAAGGUCCUGUCUCCUUAAUAAGCAACAAAAAAUGGAAAGUUUCUGCAUUAAUUCUUCUCCUCGAAUGAUCCCUCAAGAAGAAAACUUGCCUCCCAGAAGUGCUGACACACCUGAGAGCACAGGUGAGACCACCAUUUCUGCUCACAUUACUGGCCCAAGAGGAACCCUCACAGAGCUCUCUGGACAUAGGAACUGAGGAACAGUCUGGAACAGGAUCCUUCCUGUUUCCAACUGCACCUGGAGCUGACCCUGUGCCACAGAAAGCUGGUCUCCCAAGAGUGUUGACACAUCUAAGAGCACAGGUAAGACUGCUACUUCUGCUCUAAGGGACCUGCCCAGAACCCUCAAGACACAGGAAUUGAGGAGCAGUCUGGGACAGGAUCCUUCCAGUUUCUCUCUGCACCCUGACCUGACCCAGUGCAAGAGGGUCAUCCCUGAGAGAGAUUCCCCCUGAGAGAGAGCUGGUUUCUGAGUAGUGCUGACACACAGGCUUACAGGAUGGUCAAGCCACAGUCAGAGACAGCAAGAACAGCUAACAUUAGAGAUAAGCAUGUGGGAAAGGGCAAAAGAAGAAGCAAGGGCAAAAACUUAAGCAACACAAACAAAGGCUACUGGGCAUCAUCAAAACCCAGUUCCCCCAACACAGCAACACCAGAAUACCCAACCUACCAGAAAAGCAAUAUUUUGAUUUAAAAUCACAAAUCAGGAUAAUGUUAGAUUACAUUAAGAAUGACAUAAAUAACUCCCUUAAAGAAAUGCAGGACAACACAGGUAAACAGGUAGAAGCCCUUAAAGAGGAAACACAAAAAUGAACCAAACAGGUGAAGAAAUUGAAUAAAACCAUCCAAGAUCUAAACAUGGAAAUCGAAGCAAUAAAGAAAUAACAAAGAGAAACAAGUCAGAAAACAGAAAACCUAGAAAAGAGAUUAGGAGUGAUAGACAAGGGGUUGGGGAUUUAGCUCAGUGGUAGAGUGCUUGCCUAGGAAGCGCAAGGCCCUGGGUUCGGUCCCCAGCUCCGAAAAAAAGAAAAAAAAAAAAAAAGCAUUCCGAACAGAGUACAAAAGAUAGUAGAAAGAAUAACAGGGGCAGAAAAUACCAUGGAAACAUUGAUACAAUAAGCAAAGAAAAUGCAAAACCCAAAAGGCUCCUAAUCCAAGAAAUCUAGGAUAUAAUGACAAGAUCGAACCAAAGGAUCAUAGGUAUAGAAGAGAGCAAAGAUACCCAACUUAAAGGGCCAGUAAAUAUCUUCAACAAAAUUAUAGAAUAAAACUUCCCUAACCUAAAGAAAGAGAUGCCCAUGUAAUAUAUAAAGGCAGACUUAUCAGAAUCACACCAGACUUCUCAACAAAGACUAUGAAAGCUUGAAGAUCCUAGGCAGAUGUCAUACAGAACUUAAGAGAACACAAAUGCCAGCCCAAGCUACUAUAUCUAGCAAAACUCUAAAUUAAUGUAGAUGGAGAAACCAAGAUAUUCCAUGACAAAACCAAAUUUACAGAAUAUCUUUCCAAAAUCCAGCCCAGAAAAUGAUAAUAGACAGAAAACUAUAAAACAAGGAGGGAAACGACACCUUAGAAAAAGCAAAAAAGUAAUCUUCCUUCAACUAACCCAAAAGAAGAGAGCCACACAAGCAUAAUUCCACCUCUAACAACAAAAAUAAGAGAAAGCAAAAUCACUAUUCUUUAAUAUCUCUUAGCAUCAAUGGAUUCAAUUCCCCAAUAAAAAGACAUAGACUAACAGACUCAAUAUGUAAAGAGGAUCCAGCAUUUUGCUGCAUUGAGGAAGCACACCUCAGGAGCAAAGACAGACACUACAUCAGAGUAAAAGGCUGGAAAACAAUAUUCAAAAACAAAUGAUCUCAAGGAACAAGCUGGAGUAUCCAUUUUAAUAUCCAAUAAAAUCAACUUUCAACCAAAACCUAUCAAAAAAAUAAGGAAGGACACUUCAUCUUCAUCAAAGGAAAAAUCCACCAAAAUGAACUCUCAAUCCUGAAUAUCUAUGCUCCAAAUGCAAGGACAUCUACAUUCAUAAAAGAACCUUACUAAAGCUGAAAGCACACAUUAUACCUCACAUAAAAAUAGUGGCAGACUUCAACAACCCACUCUCAUCAAUGGACAGAUCAUGGAAAAAGAAAUUAAACAGAGACAUGAAGAAACUAACAGAAGUUAUGAGCCAAAUGGACUUAACAAAUAUUUAUAGAAUGUUUCAUCCUAAAACAAAAGGAUAUACCUUCUUGUUAGCACUCACGGUACCUUCUUCAAGAUUGACCAUAUAAUAGGUCACAAAACAGGCCGAAACAGAUAAAAAGAAGGUUGAAAUAAUCCCAUAUAACCUAUCAAAUCACCAUGGACUAAGGUUGGACACCCCAAUGUUAGAAAAUGUUUGAGGGGGAAUUAAAAAGGGAGAAUAGAUGGGGAGGGGAACACCCUUAUAGAAGAAAGGGAGGGGGAAGGGAUAGGGGACUUAUGUCCUGGAAACUGGGAAAUGAAAUAACAUUUGAAAUGUAAAUAGCAAAACAUUCACUAAGGAGGGAAACUAUACCCUAGAAAGAAAGAGAAAGUAAUCUCCUUGCAACAAAAAAAAAAAGGAGAUACAAACAUAAUUCCAAAUCUAACAAUGUAAAUAAUAGAAAGCAACAAUCACUACUCCUUACUAUCUAUUAAUACCAAUGGACUCAAUUCCCCAACAAAAAGGCAUAGAUUAACAAAUUGGGUAUGUAAGGAGGACCUAGAAUUUCUGCAUACAAGAAACACAGCUCAGAGACAAAGACAGACACUACCUCAGUGAAAAAGGCUGGAAAAAAAUUUCCAAGCAAAUGGUCCAAAGAAACAAACUGUAAAUAGUCAUCAAAAAAGAUGAGGAAGGA